rnacentral:rRNA from 1 species
UACAGAGGUCUCAAGCGUUGUUCGGAUUCAUUGGGCGUAAAGGGUGCGUAGGCGGCGGGGCAAGUCGGAUGUGAAAUCUCAGGGCUCAACCCUGAAACUGCAUUCGAUACUGCUGUGCUUGAGGACUGGAGAGGAGACUGGAAUUUACGGUGUAGCAGUGAAAUGCGUAGAGAUCGUAAGGAAGACCAGUGGCGAAGGCGGGUCUCUGGACAGUUCCUGACACUGAGGAGCGAAAGCGUGGGGAGCGAACAGG